AGUAGGACUUCAGCACCACCCAGUGACAGCAGAGCCACAGAGGGCCUGCUGGGAGGAGUUAGAGCAGGGAGAGGAGGGGAGAAACCCCUGGUUCUUGCUCCCCUUUCUUUCCCAUUAACCAAACACAGACUGAAUCCAGCUGAGUGGGGACCGUGAAAAACUUCCUGGAAGGCCUGCCUUUCUGCAGCACAGGGCAGGAAAACCCAGAGGAACAGAUCUGAGAACCAGCAGGCAUGGAAAAUGAAGUCAAACAGGAGCCUUACUCUAAGGAGUACAUGAUCUCCGCCUCCACGCAUGAAGACGCGGAAGAGCAAGCAGAAUCUAUGCGGCACAGAGAGAAGGUGAGCGGUUAUCCGAGGAUGAGGUAGGUCUGGGGAUCAGUGAGGAUGUGGUGGGAAUUAUGGGAAGUUCUAUAGAAACAGAACAAAAAAAAGCCACAAGUCAAGAUCCAUUUUGAAUAUGUUGGUGGGUACAUUGGAUAGUAUGUGUGUAUGGCAACAAAAUGGGGACCCUCUGCCAGAGGCCUGGGUUGCUAUCUGAUGACUUCCUUAGCCUUUGGGUUGGUGGAAGCUGGGGAUCUGAACUUACUUUCCAAAAGAAUCUACCUACCAGUCACGGGGGAGUUAGAUCAUAAACAGAGCUAGGCAAUAAAUAGCUCUUAGGGCCUCAUUACAGCCCAAGAUAAACUGUGAUUUGGCUCCUAAUUAUAGUUAGACUGGAAACACUUUACCUCUUCACAGUCAUUGACAUUCGAAUCUGCUAAUCAGCCUUUAAAGAGGGUUCAAUAGUGGGUACCGUUUUGUUUUGGAAACUUUUGUUCACAAUACAUAAAAAAGAACAUUCUCAUUUUACAGCUGCCUAAUCUCUUGUCACAAGGACAGACCACACUUUAUAUAGCCAGUUCCCUACUGAUGGACAAUGUGAUCUUUUUAAAAACAGUUUCUUUAGUCUCAAUAGUUGUUUUUAGAUUUAUUGAGUUAUUUGUUUAGUUAUCUUAUGUGUAUUAAUGCUUUGCCUGCAUGCAUAUCUGUGCUCCGUAUGCAUGACUGCUACCCUCAGAGGCCAGAGGAGGCAUCAGGUCACCUGAGACUGCAGCAGUGGAUGGUUACGAGCCAUCAUAGGGGGACUGGGAAUUUAACCUGGGUCCUCUGGAAAAGCGGUGCAUCUUCUUGAACAUUGAGCCAUCUCUUUAGCCCGUGAUGGUAGAAAUUUUAAUGGAAAUUUAUUUUUAUGACAUUGAAGGUAAUGGAAUGCUUUCUUGUUUGGUUGCCUAGUAAAUGUUUUCACUAUGGUUAAUUUUUGUCCUAACAGUAUCCCAAGCUGGCCUUGAACUCACCGUUCAAGACACUAUAGGGCAUUUUCUUAUUCAGUGAUUGAUGUGGGAGGGUCCAGCCCACCAUGGCGGCUCAUCCCUGGGCUUGUGUCCUGAUUCUAUAAUAAAGCAGCCAUCAGAGGCAGAGGAAGCAGCACUCUUCCUUCGAUGGCCUCUGCACCAGCUCCUGCCUCUCAGUUGCUGCCUGUUUGAGCUCCUGUCCUGAUUUCCCUCAGUGAUGAACUGGGAUGUGGAAGUGUGAGUCACCGAAACCCUUUCCUCCCCAAUUUGCAUUUGCUCAGGGUGUUUCUUCACAGCAACCCUCACUCAGUCAGCCAAAAACCAUAUCCUUCACUGCUGUUCUUAGCUAGUGUUCACCUGGAGAGCUUGUUCGAAUGAAGAUUCCCACCCAGAACGUGGUCUGAGAUUCUAGGUUUUGGAGCUGUUCCUCAGUAGCUCAAGGCGGCUGGCGUGCCGCCAUGACUUGCCGUUGAUCUGCAUGCUCUUUCCUUUUUCUUCCUCUCAAAGAAGGAAACUGCCACAUGACUCACCAAGCUGCUUUGUGCAAGCAGAUGUCAGUUGUCACUGUCCCUGAUGAGAACAACUUGUUAGAACACUAAAAAAAGUGAAGUGGGUAAACCAGUUUAUUAACCUACUGAGUUAGUCAUCUCGGGCGAUUACUUUUUCCUCGGUCCUUGACUCAAAACCAGUGGAAAUAAUUUGCUUAGGAACCUCAGAGUGUCUGUCAGACGGUAAUGUCAGAAGUCUCCCGUGAAAGUGACACAGAGGCUCAGGACCUUAACCACAGUUUUUUCUCUUUUUCUUGAAGAUGUCUCCAGGUCUUGGCAUAAAUGAGGACUCUUCCCAUGGCCUGAACAUCUUUCUUCCAUCCUUCAAAGCCAUUGCUACACGGCAGCUCCGGAUCAACAUGUUCCUCAUGGGAGUGAAUAAACAGCUCUGAGUCAGGAGGAGUGGAAAAAAUUCGCCCAAGAUUUACCCACAAAUUGGCUCUGAGAAAGCACCCGAGAACACUCCCAAAGCGUUUGUGCCAGGUUCCCUGGGCUGCUGGGUUUACUUGAGAAAUCAUAAAAUGACUUUUGUGUGUUUAUUCUUUGACAAUUUAAUACACAAAUGCAAUGCACCCUGGUCAUACUGUUGUCAUUUAAAUAUUUAUUUAUUUAUUUA
ensembl:lincRNA uncharacterized LOC110310192